rnacentral:rRNA from 1 species
UACGGGGGGGGCAAGCGUUGUUCGGAAUUACUGGGCGUAAAGGGAGCGUAGGCGGCGUGGUAAGUCAGAUGUGAAAUCCCGGGGCUCAACCCCGGAACUGCAUCCGAUACUGCCGUGCUUGAGGGUUGGAGAGGUAGCUGGAAUUAUCGGUGUAGCAGUGAAAUGCGUGGAUAUCGAUAGGAACACUCGUGGCGAAGGCGAGCUACUGGACAACAUCUGACGCUGAGGCUCGAAGGCUAGGGGAGCAAAAGGG